AACCCUCCCUUUGGUUUAGGUGUUGCUCUCCUAUCUUCCGUGACUCUUUGCUCGGCAACCUCAGGCCAGCUCUGCCCCAUUCUCAUGUUGUGUCCCAGCUCAGAGGGUUCCCACCGUGGGUCAGAGCCUUGAGGAUCCAUUUUCCUGGAAGGAAAGUUUGGAUUACCCUCUUUUCUUGGGGGAUCAUAGUGAUGGGCAAUUCAGGGACAAUCAUGGAGUACCUUAUGAGCAUGCAUCAGCAGAAGCUAGUCUCAUCUGGAAGCAGGAAACCCUUCCCGAGGAAAUAAAAUUAAAGAUGAGCACAGAUAAUCUCAACAGACAGUGGGGAUCCUGGAUGCUGCAUGAAGCUUAACUUCCUAAGGACCUAGCCAUUCUGUUUAGAGAUGACAAUGCUGAUUAGAGAAGCCAACCAAAAUCUCGGCCCAGCUGAGAAACGCAUAAAGAUUUCCUAAGCAAGAAGUUUACUGAUAUUUACUAAAAGUAGCUGAACAUGGACCAAGAUCUCACAUCUAGUUAAUGAAAUAGGUUUACUG
ensembl:lncRNA